rnacentral:rRNA from 1 species
CAGUAGCCGCGGGAAUACGGAGGGUGCAAGCGUUAAUCGGAAUUACUGGGCGUAAAGCGCACGCAGGCGGUCUGACAAGUCAGAUGUGAAAUCCCCGGGCUUAACCUGGGAACUGCAUUUGAAACUGUCAGGCUGGAGUCUUGUAGAGGGGGGUAGAAUUCCAGGUGUAGCGGUGAAAUGCGUAGAGAUCUGGAGGAAUACCGGUGGCGAAGGCGGCCCCCUGGACAAAGACUGACGCUCAGGUGCGAAAGCGUGGGGAGCAAACAGGAUUAGAUACCCCCGUAGUCCUGUUUCUUAUACA